rnacentral:rRNA from 1 species
UGGGGGAUAUUGCACAAUGGGCGAAAGCCUGAUGCAGCGACGCCGCGUGGGGGAUGAAGGCUUUCGGGUUGUAAACCUCUUUCGCUAUCGAACAAGGCCCGCUUAGGGUGGGUGGAGGGUAGGGGGAGAAGAAGCGCCGGCUAACUACGUGCCAGCAGCCGCGGUAAUACGUAGGGCGCGAGCGUUUUCCGGAAUUAUUGGGCGUAAAGGGCUUGUAGGCGGCUUGUUGCGCCUGCUGUGAAAACGCGGGGCUUAACUUCGCGCGUGCAGUGGGUACGGGCAGGCUUGAGUGUGGUAGGGGUGACUGGAAUUCCAGGUGUAGCGGUGGAAUGCGCAGAUAUCUGGAGGAACACCGAUGGCGAAGGCAGGUCACUGGGCCAUUACUGACGCUGAGGAGCGAAAGCAUGGGUAGCGAACAGG